UACGGAGGGUGCAAGCAUUGCUCGGAAUUACUGGGCGUAAAGCGCGCGCAGGCGGGCCUUUAAGUCUGAUGUGAAAGCCCACGGCUCAACCGUGGAGGGUCAUUGGAAACUGGGGGACUUGAGUGCAGAAGAGGAAAGCGGAAUUCCACGUGUAGCGGUGAAAUGCGUAGAGAUGUGGAGGAACACCAGUGGCGAAGGCGGCUUUCUGGUCUGUAACUGACGCUGAGGCGCGAAAGCGUGGGGAGCAAACAGG
rnacentral:rRNA from 1 species